rnacentral:sRNA from 1 species
UGCAAAGUUGGAAAAUUCACAGUCGUUGGCAAGCAGUCGUUUAGUGUGUUUUAACAAAGUGAAAGUUCCAGUUGAACAAUUUACAAGGCGAAGCAAAGAAAACGGGCAACUUAACCUUAAUUGUUAUUGAUGUGCAAUAGAAGAGCUAGCUGAAGUACCAGACAAAGUCCGUUGGGACCUUUGUCUGAAGCUACAAAAAACCCCAACUAGCAUGUGAAAAUGGAUGAUCUAGAAGAAGUUACACAAUGUGUGUGGUAUGAUACUUCUGAAACUGGGCAGAUAACAUGACAGGGUCUUCAGCUCAAUAGAAAGUCAACGACUGAGUGGAAAAGUUAAACCAAAACAAUCGCUUUCGUUAAGCCCCCUUCACCUCGCCAGCCAUCCAUGUGCUCGACUAAUGGUGUAGAUUGCCCCAAAAAGAAAAACAUUUCAACGAAUGAACACUUACUUGCGAUGAAGAAAUAUGCUCUGAAUGCGCUAGAGAGCAUGUAAAGAUGACAACGUGACCAGAGUGAGUUUGAACCACGAUCCAUGCAUCUUUUUUAGGAAUCAACCUGCGCACACCUACUAUGUUACUCGGGUGUUGACCCCCCCCCAUAUACUGCAAAUUCUACACAAUUCUAUGCGUAUCAUACAAAUCUCAAUGAGUAGUGGAAUAACUUGAAAUUAGAAAGGUCGACCAUACUUCCAUACAACCUUCCAUUCAUCAAAAUCUUAUAAUGAAAAAUACUGGUUAUGGGGAAAAGUAAAGUUGUCACCAAAAUGCAUGCUGCGAAGAAGAGUAUCUGGCUUCAACAACGCGUUGUUGGCUAACAAAGUUGCUGUCGUCCGGAGUAUCGUCUCUUCACACUUACAUAUGGCGUGACUUCAUUCUUCCAUCAACACCACCAACGUCGUAUGCAGACUUUCGCACAAUUGGGCAUGAUGGUAUUUAUGAAAUCGUUUCCUCUAAAUCACCCUUUCCCAAAUUUUCAGUAAGCCGAAAAAAAGAGUAGCCGAAUAGAAAAAAUCCAACAAUUUCCAUCUCAUCCCUUGCAAAAGGCAUGCUGACUGACAUCCUAAAAUUUUUCAACUGUGGAGCACUUGUUCCGUCUUUCUCUGAAUUUCUACGGCUAAGGUGUAAGCUGAUCCUCAAUGCCUGCUACAAGUUCGAUGCUGAAACGCGUAAGCGGUAUCAUGAGAUAUACAUUUCCAAUAACUUUAUUAUUUUAGGACUUGUACUCCUUGAAUACUUCUGUCCGUGCUAGAGGCGAUAAAUGUUCCCAGAAAACGAUUUGCUCAUAUUUUGUUCUGCAAUCAAACUCCGAAGAUUUUUAUCCCAAUGCAACUAAAUCCAUUGUUGCUUACUGCUGGCUGAAGAAAGGCGGAGUAAAAGUAGGAGUUAUCUCGGCGGCAGAAGUGAUUUCCCCAUUUCUAGUAUCCACUUUAUUGUUUAUUUGGUGUUCAGCCUACGAAAUUAAAAUGAGGGCGGCACAAAUUCGGCUACUUAUUCGACUUCAUGCAACUGAAUAUUCUACAGGCAGGUGUUUUACCUAACGUAAACAAUUGUGAUUUUAGCAUUGUGACCCAGUUGAUCUGUACCUGGGCAUAAUAUUCUCAUGUGUUGGUUCUCUCUGUUAACAUGCAAAUAUUGACCCAAAAGUAUUGGAGUAUGGACCCUGUUGAGACCAAACAAAGGCAGGUGGUUUGUUUUCCCCUAACUUGUACGAUUGUUGUGAUUUUUAGCAUUAUGACUCAGUUGAUCGGUUCCUGGGCAUAAUUAUUGGACGACCUAGAACACAGGUUUGAAUAUCUACACAUAUGCAAUGUGAUGAUGAUUAAUGAUUGAGUGGUGACCGCGAGAUAAGAAACCAUGGACCCCCCUCGCUUCCUCACAUAAAAAAGAAUACUUUACAGGCAGGUGUUACGUUUUGUCCUAACAUAUACGAUUGAUGUGAUUUUUAGCAUUAUGACUCAGUUGAUCGGUGCCUGGGCAUAAUUAGCGAGCUUAUUUCCAAUUCGUGUGGGCAAGACUGGGAGAUAAUAAUUGAAUUUCAAGGACGUAAGCAACAAUGAAAUUGUUUUCAACCUAAUGCAAACUUUUACAGACAUCCAUGGUAAUUGGAGAUAAUUACAUGGCCAUGGCCUAUACAGAAAUGAAAUAGGAAGGAGGUUUGGGCCACCCUUUAAGUUUAAGGCGUAAGAAAGUGUUGAGAUUAUCGUCAGUGUUAAUAAGAUAUUUGCAGAUCACAAUUUUAUAUGAGGAUUGUGUCCAUGGAAGGACAUUUUAAUACAAAGAAAGCUAUGCAGUCCAAUAACCUGGCAACUGUAAAUCAUUGCCUGUUUCAACCACAAUCAGAGCCACUAUAGACGGUUCACUUCAUACCUUUAUUAAAAAAGAAAACUGUAAGAAUGCGAAAACAAGUCCCCAAACUAAUACGUUUUUUGCAGAGAUGUUAAUACGAGGAACAUAAUCUAAUUUGGGCCACAUCAUAUAUGCAGUAACUUAAAUUGUCCAAGCAUAUCCAAGUUUUUUACGAUUUUUAGCAUUAUCACUCAGUAGACCUGUGCCUGAGCAUAAUAGGAAUGUUUGUUUAUGCCAUAGAAUAGCGCGUAAUGCUGUCUGUCAUCAGCGGCCAAAAACGUGUAACGUGUAAGAAAACAAUGGAAUUGUUUUUUCUUUUAAUUGCAUACUUGCAGACAGACCCUAAGAUCAUAGAACUACAUUUUUGUGGAGCUAAUGUCGUAAAUGCAGCUACAAUUACAAAACUUCAAGUCGAGAAAUGAGAAAUACUAAAAUUAUCCUCAUGCGUUACUGCAGACCCGAACAUAUACAUAUAUAAAGCCUUUCGAGCUUUCCUCUGCGUAGCAAGCGUAAGAAAACAUAAAGUUUGUUUUCUAAUCAAUUGUACAUUGCAGGAUUAAGGCGGAUGUCUUUUUCAAAAUGUUAACAUUUCUUUCUCAACAUAGAGAUGAUGCAUAUGUGAAACUAUCAACUAUCGUAUCUGCAGACAAUAUAUCGACCCAACCGACCUAUAGCGCUUACCAGUUUUGUAAGGAUUUGUUGCUAUUUUCUUAUCAAACUAACCCGAUUUUUGCAGAUGAGUUCAUUUGAAAGGUUAUAGAGUAACACAACUCGUAUGACUUGGUCCGUUAAAACAACCUAUCACUAGAGAUCGAACACCAACAGGCAAGCCUUGGUCUAUCCCUCUUCAUAAAAACUAGUUUUUUAAAUGCUUUUAGCGUUGUGUCACAGUUGAGCGUCCCUGUGCAUAGCCAUACAGCCAUCAAAUUACACACCAUUCAGGAGGCUAAAGCUCGUGGAAGUUUUGAACAAUUCGUCCCUAAGUGAUGAAUGUAAACAGGCAAGAUUUAACAUUUCUUUACUUGACAAGCGAACGCGUUUUUGCAUGUUUUUUAGCGUUAUGUCACAGUUGAAAGUGCCUGUGAGUAACAUGAUGAAAGAAAGUUCACUGUAAGGGACACUUCACGUCUACCUACAUACGAUGGAAAUGGGUGUAUUAUACAACAAUGCAGGCAAGCUUUGUUUCUUUCUAAAAAAAAAAACAAAAAGAAGCGUUUUUUUGAAUGCAUUUUAGCGUUAUGACACAGUUGAACCGUGCCUGUGCGUAACAGAAGGAUAUAUAGAAUUAUAGAAGCGAUGUUUGUGCUCUAUUUUACGUAUUAUUAUUUGCUGGAAACGUCCUAAUGAGUGAGAGGUGGCGACCUAAAAACUGAUUGAUUUGACUGAGAAAACAACAGGCAAGACAUUUCGUUUUGACUCAUCAUGCUGCGAACGUGUUUUUUUUUCAAUAAAUUUUAGCGUUAUAGCACAGUUGAACGGUACCUGUGCAUAACAGAAGGACAAACUGUAGGCAAGGAUGUAAAAUCCACGCAAGCCAACCCAGCAACCAACCAACUUGUGAUCUUCAGUUCUGCUUCCUUGUUCUACGUUGUCAACAGAAAUCCAACUGUGCUCUUUCUCUUUGUUUCCGUUUCCAAAGUACUUUUAGAAAAUGUGCGUGCAACUUUAAAAUGUGUCAUGUCCAAUCCUGAUCUGAGUUCAGCAGGGCCGCUUAAACUAAUGCCUAACAAAAUCAAUAUCAUCCCGUUCGCUGACAUAAUUAUUCUGGUAAAAUGUACUCGAUACUCCAAAGAAGCAUUUAAUCCAUUUGCUUUACAGAGAAAUUCAUCACAUGAGAAAAAAUAACCAGUAAGCUAAGGGAAUCGCUAAUAAUAUGUUGUGUUGUAUGACGAUGAUGUUGAUAAAGAAGAUGAGACAGAGUGAAGGAGAGGAGGGAGAGUUAAUCGCUCCACCCCCUGUGAUGAGUUCAUGAAAUUGGAAUAACGUAACAGUAUACGCAUAUGGGUGUGCACAUAGUUGUUGCAUCGCCGCUAUUGCUUUCUCCCAGGCCCUCAUGCUGCACUCACACAUAUUGUUUAUGCACUUCACCAUCUGAUCGGGCGUUAUUAUUUGAAAGCGCGGCUCUGGCGCGCGCGUUUGAGCCGGCUGAGCUCGCCAAGGCCAUUUGAAAAGGUAUUUCACGUUCCUUCAUGCCAUUACCUCUUGAUGCGAUGCUGUAUCCUUUGAGCUCAAGAGAGAGUCAGUCGUCUAUCGACUGACUGUGCGCGAUAACGAGGAAGAUAUGACUUGGCACCCUCGAAAAAAUAUAGCUAAGGGAAUCGCUAAUAUUUUUUGAAUGCCCAAUAACAACGCGUGCGUGUCGUUAAUGUUAUUGCGGCACCCCGUGAAAUGCGCACACAUUAAGAACUGUUGCAAAGAAGGCGCCUUCCGUGCGCGCCCUGUUGUGUAAGCUUCCGCCGCAAAACAUUCUUAAUACUACUAAUCAAUUCUUUACAGAACAUCAAGUGAAGCUCAAUAUUGCUAAGGGAAUCGCAAUUAUAAGUAUAAGAUAAGAUAAGAUAUCUUUUCUCUGUAAACAGCUAUGCAUGAAGUGCAUACAUAGUCCAUUGUUGCAUUCAUUUCGUUUGAAAAGUAUGGCCUAUACUACUACUACUACUACUACUACUGAUUACCAAAAACAGCAUAACAGUUGAACACUGAUGGAAGAAUCCAAAAAGAAACUAACAAAAUUCUUACAGAUUGUCCAAAAUCCAAACUUAAAUAUUGCUAAGGGAAUCGCAAGCAUUUAAAUUAAUCCCGAUCACUUCCCACGUGAUCUCAUCUCCAGCAUAGGUAAAUCCAUGUAUGCCUUAUGAUUAAUAUAAUGUAGAAUUUUGUCCUGAUCAUUUACAAACGAUCUACGAUCGAAAUUGAGACACAUCCUCCAACCCUCCAUCCAAAGUAAAAUGAGUACAUUACGCAAGGCAACACCCAUCGCAAUACGAAUUGAGAAAGCAAACUGAGAAGCGAUGCGGAUGAAGGUUUCUUGCCUAAGGCCUAA